UACAGGGGGUGCAAACGUUGCUCGGAAUCAUUGGGCGUAAAGCGCACGUAGGCGGUUCGUUAUGUCGGAUGUGAAAGCCCUUGGCUUAACCGAGGAAGUGCAUCCGAAACUGGCGAGCUAGAGUACGAAAGAGGAUCGCGGAAUUCCCGGUGUAGAGGUGAAAUUCGUAGAUAUCGGGAGGAACACCGGUGGCGAAGGCGGCGAUCUGGGUCGAUACUGACGCUGAGGUGCGAAAGCGUGGGGAGCAACA
rnacentral:rRNA from 1 species